CAGCUUCAAGUGUGUAGGAGCUGAAGUGAAUGCAAUCAAGGUUUCACUCAACUGGUCACCAUGAGGAUCCUCUAUCUGAUGUUUGUGGUGGUCUUUGUGAUCUUCUCCUCUAUUGGCAGAACGUAUGGCAAGGUAAAAGAUUCCAGAUCAUGUGGGAUGAUUGGCGGCAUAUGUACAAUGCACAGAUGUAUGCCUCCCAAUUUGUUUAGAGGACACUGUACUCGUUCGGCACUCUUCUGUUGUUUGUUGCCUCAUUAAUUUGAUUAAAGAAAAUAUAAAUAAAAAAU